AGUGAAGCAAAUGAUGACUUACUUUUUUCCCCAACUUAUCGACCAUGGUGAUAUUAUGCUGUCUUUAAGCCAGAACUUACUGAUGCUCCACU